CAACAUACACCUUUGGUGAGACGCCGGCUCCGUAUGAACAGCUCAAUUUUUCUUUAAUAUCCUCUAGACCCGGUUUCUUGUACUCAUGCCUAAUUAAGGUGGUGAUGGCGAAGGUGAGGAUGGCGGCUUGAGAUCCGGAUACUGCACGCGGAUGAAAGAAUGAUGAGCGUGGCCUGAUGAAUCAAGUGCUUUUUUACAAAUGGCAAUGGAGUUUUAGAUGUGUACUUACAUUAGGGUAUGGUGACAGAGGUCUGGGGCGGGCAGGAGGUGCCGAGUUGACCGACGCCGGGGCUUCAGUGGCGGUGCUCUCAACCUUCACCUCGGCUUCAGCCUCCGCAGAGGGUGCUGAAGGGGGUGUUGGUGGUUUGAGAUCUGGGUACUGCACAGAAUGUCAAGCAGAAAAUGAUGAGCAUGGCAUGAGUUUUCAGGCUCACUUGUGCAAAAUGCAAUCAGGUAUCAGGUUUACACUCACAUUUGUAUAAGGUGAAAGAGGUGUGGGCGUUGCAGGAGCCGAUUCCGUGGUGGCUUCUGCUGCUGGUGCGGCAGCUGGAGUCCCUGUUUCUAGUGCUGGUUGGCUCUUAGGUUCACCAGGUAAAGGUAGUAGAGCCU
rnacentral:lncRNA from 1 species